UGGUGAACUGAAAUAUCUAAGUAACCAGAGGAAAAGAAAUCAACCGAGAUUCCGUAAGUAGCGACGAGCGAACGCGGACUAGCCCUUAAGCUGAUUUGGUUCUAGGAAAAUGCUCUGGAAAGAGCAGCCAUAGAAGGUGAUAGCCCUGUAUCUGAAAGGGCCAUUUCAGUGAAGACGAGUAGGGCGGGGCACGUGAAACCCUGUCUGAACAUGGGGGGACCAUCCUCCAAGGCUAAAUACUACUGACCGACCGAUAGUGAACCAGUACCGUGAGGGAAAGGCGAAAAGAACCCCGGAGAGGGGAGUGAAAUAGAUCCUGAAACCGUGUGCGUACAAGCAGUAGGAGCUCCGCAAGGAGUGACUGCGUACCUUUUGUAUAAUGGGUCAGCGACUUACUGUUCGUGGCAAGCUUAACCGUAUAGGGGAGGCGAAGGGAAACCGAGUCUGAUAAGGGCGCAUAGUCGCGGGCAGUAGACCCGAAACCGGGUGAUCUAGUCAUGCCCAGGGUGAAGGUGCGGUAACACGCACUGGAGGCCCGAACCCACUCCUGUUGCAAAGGUAGGGGAUGAGGUGUGAUUAGGAGUGAAAAGCUAAUCGAACCCGGAGAUAGCUGGUUCUCCUCGAAAGCUAUUUAGGUAGCGCCUCAUAUGUAUCCUCUCGGGGGUAGAGCACUGUUAUGGCUAGGGGGUCAUCGCGACUUACCAAACCAUUGCAAACUCCGAAUACCGAGACGGACUGUAUGGGAGACACACGGCGGGUGCUAACGUCCGUCGUGAAAAGGGAAACAACCCAGACCCACAGCUAAGGUCCCAAAUUCACUGCUAAGUGGAAAACCAUGUGGAAAGGCACAGACAGCCAGGAGGUUGGCUUAGAAGCAGCCACCCUUUAAAGAAAGCGUAAUAGCUCACUGGUCGAGUCGGUCUGCGGGGAAGAUUUAACGGGGCUAAGCAGUGAACCGAAGCUUGGGGUGCAUAACUUUGUUAUGCGCGGUAGAGGAGCGUUCCGUAAGCCGUUGAAGGUGGAUUGAGAAGUCUGCUGGAGGUAUCGGAAGUGCGAAUGCUGACAUGAGUAACGAUAAUGCGGGUGAAAAACCCGCACGCCGAAAGCCCAAGGUUUCCUUGCGCAACGUUAAUCGGCGCAGGGUGAGUCGGCCCCUAAGGCGAGGACGAAAGUCGUAGUCGAUGGGAAGCAGGUUAAUAUUCCUGCACCUCGCGUAAGUGCGAUGGAGGGACGGAGAAGGUUAGGUGUACCAGGCGUUGGUUGUCCUGGGGAAAGGCGGUAGGUUUGGAUCUUUGGCAAAUCCGGGAUCCUUUAAGACCGAGCACCGAGACGAGCCUUUAAGGCGAAGUCACUGAUACCACGCUUCCAGGAAAAGCUCCUAAGCUUCAGCUUACGCAGACCGUACCGUAAACCGACACAGGUGGGUAGGAUGAGAAUUCUCAGGCGCUUGAGAGAACUCGGGUGAAGGAACUAGGCAACAUGGCACCGUAACUUCGGGAGAAGGUGCACCCUUUUUGGUGGCUCAUGCGAGCUAUAGCUGAAGAGGGUCGCAGUAACCAGGCCGCUGCGACUGUUUAUCAAAAACACAGCACUCUGCAAACACGAAAGUGGACGUAUAGGGUGUGACGCCUGCCCGGUGCUGGAAGGUUAAUUGAUGGGGUCAGCCGCAAGGCGAAGCUCUUGAUCGAAGCCCCAGUAAACGGCGGCCGUAACUAUAACGGUCCUAAGGUAGCGAAAUUCCUUGUCGGGUAAGUUCCGACCUGCACGAAUGGCGUAACGACAGCGGCGCUGUCUCCACCCGAGACUCAGUGAAAUUGAAAUCGCUGUGAAGAUGCAGCGUUCCCGUGGCAAGACGGAAAGACCCCGUGAACCUUUACUAUAGCUUUACACUGAACGUUGAGUUCGUCUGUGUAGGAUAGGUGGGAGGCUAUGAAACUGUGGCGCUAGCUGCAGUGGAGCCAUCCUUGAAAUACCACCCUGUCGUGCUUGACGUUCUAACCUAGGUCCAUAAUCUGGA
rnacentral:rRNA from 1 species